GCAGACUCACUCUGUUUAAGACUGACACAUCCAGCCUUAGACUUUUUCUGUCUGCAACAGAAAUAGGACGAACAUUACAAACUGCCUUGCCAUUCAUUUGGGAGGUGACUGUAAAUUCUCGGACAUUUUU
ensembl:snoRNA